rnacentral:rRNA from 1 species
UGGGGAUUUUGGACAAUGGGCGCAGCCUGAUCCAGCCAUUCCGCGUGAGUGAAGAAGGCCUUCGGGUUGUAAAGCUCUUUCGCAAGGGAGGAAACGAUUUAGGUGAUAUCUAAGUUUAUGACGGUACCUUGAUAAGAAGCACCGGCUAACUACGUGC